rnacentral:rRNA from 1 species
AUUGAACGCUGGCGGUAUGCUUAACACAUGCAAGUCGAACGAUGAGAAAGAGCUUGCUCUUUCGAUUAGUGGCGGACGGGUGCGUAACGCGUAGGAAUCUACCUAUUAGUGGGGGACAACUUAGGGAAACUUAAGCUAAUACCGCAUACGCCCUACGGGGGAAAGAAGGGGAUCGCAAGACCUUUUGCUAAUAGAUGAGCCUGCGUAGGAUUAGCUAGUUGGUGGGGUAAAAGCUCACCAAGGCGACGAUCCUUAACUGGUUUGAGAGAAUGAUCAGUCACACGGGAACUGAGACACGGUCCAGAAUCCUACGGGAGGCAGCAGUGGGGAAUAUUGGACAAUGGGCGAAAGCCUGAUCCAGCAAUACCGCGUGUGUGAAGAAGGCCUUAGGGUUGUAAAGCACUUUCAAUUGGAAGGAAAACCUCGAAGCUAAUACCUUCGAGUUUGACAUUACCUUUAGAAGAAGCACCGGCUAACUCCGUGCCAGCAGCCGCAGUAAAAC